GUAGGUGGCAAGCGUUGUCCGGAAUUAUUGGGGCGCAAAGCGCGCGCAGGCAGUUCUUUAAGUCUGAUGUGAAAGCCCACGGGCUCAACCGUGGAGGGUCAUUGGAAACUGGAGAACUUGAGUACAGAAGAGGAAAGCGGAAUUCCACGUGUAGCGGUGAAAUGCGUAGAGAUGUGGAGGAACACCAGUGGCGAAGGCGGCUUUCUGGUCUGUAACUGACGCUGAGGCGCGAAAGCGUGGGGAGCAAACAGGAUUAGAUACCCUGGUAGUCCACGCCGUAAACGAUGAGUGCUAGGUGUUAGGGGGUUUCCGCCCCUUAGUGCUGCAGCUAACGCAUUAAGCACUCCGCCUGGGGAGUACGGCCGCAAAGGCUGA
rnacentral:rRNA from 1 species